rnacentral:lncRNA from 1 species
CAGGGGGGCUCUCCGGGGUGACAGCCCGAGCCGUUCGGUGCGUCAGACCCUCGGGUUCCGCGGCCAGCGUUUGGCCCGCCAGUGAAAAGCCGAGAAAGGCUGCAAGUACGACGCACAGCUUCAUUCUGCGGCUACGCAGCAGGUGACCCGUCUCCCCAUCCUACCGGACCGUCCGACUGCGUGCUGGCGGCAAAUCGUUGCGGAAAGGCUUCUUCACGUAGACACCCUCACUGGGUUGUGGCUAGGGACGAACACGGGCGCGAUGCGCAUGCCCGCCGGCUGACACACCGGUGAUGGAAGUUCCAAAUGUGGUCAGCGAAUGCGUCCUCAUUCGGUAAACUUGUGCGAUCGAGUGGGACAGGUGCGCCGGAGCCCUGAAUCUUUGCAGAUCAGCGUCCAUCAUAAACCUUCCUGCUGGACGGUUGGACGUCCAGAUCAAACAGCCGGGAGAAAUAGACUCCAGCUUCCAAUCGUACUUCGCUACAGCCCCAUGUUUAUACCAAAAACCCUCAAAGCUGCUCUCCGCAAGGGUAGCGGCGUGGGCGACACUGGACAGCAGCCGUAGGCAACUGAGGGGUUGUGACUUGUAGAGUCGGAACGGCGGGUUUUGUAAACGUGGAGGUGUGCCAAGGCUCUCCGACAGUCGCGUGAGCAUGUGCUCGCCCUCAAAGGUGUAAAUGUGUUCGUUCAACAUCACUGGCUUUUUCUCUGUUGUCUCUAGCCCUGGGCGCAUCAACACAGUUGGCGGUGGGUCAAUGCCACGGGAGCGUGCUUUUCCACUGUGCCGCACAGCGCUGCGACAGAAAAUGGUGGAAAAUGCGCGUCAGCAUCAAUUUCCAGACAAACGCGUAGACUCCUCAGUCAG